GACGAACGCUGGCGGCGUGCCUAAUACAUGCAAGUAGAACGCACAGUUUAUACCGUAGCUUGCUACACCAUAGACUGUGAGUUGCGAACGGGUGAGUAACGCGUAGGUAACCUGCCUGGUAGCGGGGGAUAACUAUUGGAAACGAUAGCUAAUACCGCAUAAUAUUGAUUAUUGCAUGAUAAUUGAUUGAAAGAUGCUAUUGCAUCACUACCAGAUGGACCUGCGUUGUAUUAGCUAGUAGGUGAGGUAACGGCUCACCUAGGCGACGAUACAUAGCCGACCUGAGAGGGUGAUCGGCCACACUGGGACUGAGACACGGCCCAGACUCCUACGGGAGGCAGCAGUGGGGAAUCUUCGGCAAUGGACGAAAGUCUGACCGAGCAACGCCGCGUGAGUGAAGAAGGUUUUCGGAUCGUAAAGCUCUGUUGUAAGAGAAGAACGGGUGUGAGAGUGGAAAGUUCACACUGUGACGGUAUCUUACCAGAAAGGGACGGCUAACUACGUG
rnacentral:rRNA from 1 species